AAGAUAAAAUUAUGCUCCAAGGGAAAUUACUAUUUCGCUUGUGAAAAAAUUGAUCACAACGCUAAGCUUUUACUGAAGUACGCAAUAAACGGAAAAAAAUCACAGCGGCGGACUCUAAAAUUUUCUAAAGAGCUCGAGGAACUAGAUAAUAAUAAAGCGCAGUUUUUAACGAGUAUUGAGCUCAGUGAGGCCAAUAGUAACGUUGUGGUAUUUAGCGUUGUGCAAGUAAAAGUUUUUAUUCGUUGUUUAGCAACGGAGAAUUUUUAUGAAAAAUCUCUGUUCACAGUAAAUGUGGACAGUCCGUCAUCCUAUUGGCUCCUCUGCGGGUUCCACGUGAAAGAGUUUACCUUGAACCAGGCAAGUUACUCUAAGUUUAUUUAUCUCUGCUUAAAACUGCGACUAAAUAGGAGGGCUGUGCAACGCUGGAAUUUAAAUUGUAUCCGCUUAGUCCAGGCUACCUGCCUCUCCCCCACGUGGCCAUCUUCCAAGGACCCGCCAAUGAGAGAUUUCACUCUCCCCCCCAUGGAGAAAACUCGAACCUGGACGUUACGUUCGGAUCGAGCUUUCUCGAGCCUGCCGGGCCGCCCACGCUGCUUGGAUGCCCUAUGAAGACAAUUCACCAACCUCAAUGGGUGACUGUGCUCCACCAAUCUAGAAAUCAAUUGGUAAUACUCACUCGCGACUUUGAAUAACGCGGUAACCAAUCAAAAUGAGAGUUUAAUGUCAACGAAUAAGUUUUUUUGUGAAAUUUAAAUAUUUCGUUUG